GUUUGAUAAAGGCAAACUCAUUGAAAAGUGAGGACGCAAAGCUAUAGGGGCUUCAUUUCUUUAUGCCAGCCAGCUACCUUA
rnacentral:ncRNA from 1 species